AGCAAACGGCUGCAUUACACAGAGGAAAACACAACAGUAACCUUAAAAGGUUACUGUUGUGUUUUCCUCUGUGUAAAGCAGUCGCU